rnacentral:tRNA from 1 species
AAGGCUUUAAGUUAAAUAAACUAAUAGCCUUCAAAGCUAUAAAUAAAGUUAUAGUUCUUUAAGCCUUA